UCAAAGGAAUUGACGGGGCCCGCACAAGCGGAGGAACAUGUGGUUUAAUUCGAUGAUACGCGAGGAACCUUACCUGGGCUUAAAUGUAGAGUGCAUUGGAGGGAAACUUUCAUUUUCUUCGGAACUCUUUACAAGGUGCUGCAUGGUUGUCGUCAGCUCGUGCCGUGAGGUGUCGGGUUAAGUCCCAUAACGAGCGCAACCCUUAUCGUUAGUUGCCAGCGGGUAAAGCCGGGGACUCUAGCGAAACUGCCGGUGUAAACCGAGAGGAAGGUGGGGAUGACGUCAAAUCAGCACGGCCCUUAUGUCCAGGGCUACACACGUGUUACAAUGGCCGGUACAGAGGGCAGCUACCUGUUGACAGGAUGCGAAUCUCGAAAGCCGGUCUCAGUUCGGAUCGGAGUCUGCAACCCGACUCCGUGAAGCUGGAUUCGCUAGUAAUCGCGCAUCAGCCAUGGCGCGGUGAAUACGUUCCCGGGCCUU
rnacentral:rRNA from 1 species